GGAUGAUCAGCCACACUGGAACUGAGACACGGUCCAGACUCCUACGGGAGGCAGCAGUGGGGAAUAUUGCACAAUGGGCGCAAGCCUGAUGCAGCCAUGCCGCGUGUAUGAAGAAGGCCUUCGGGUUGUAAAGUACUUUCAGUGGUGAGGAAGGUUAUGUAUUUAAUAGAUGCGUAGCUUGACGUUAGCCACAGAAGAAGCACCGGCUAACUCCGUGCCAGCAGCCGCGGUAAUACGGAGGGUGCGAGCGUUAAUCGGAAUUACUGGGCGUAAAGCGCAUGCAGGUGGUCUGUUAAGUCAGAUGUGAAAGCCCGGGGCUUAACCUCGGAAUAGCAUUUGAAACUGUCAGACUAGAGUACUGUAGAGGGGGGUAGAAUUUCAGGUGUAGCGGUGAAAUGCGUAGAGAUCUGAAGGAAUACCGGUGGCGAAGGCGGCCCCCUGGACAGAUACUGACACUCAGAUGCGAAAGCGUGGGGAGCAAACAGGAUUAGAUACCCUGGUAGUCCACGCCGUAAACGAUGUCUACUUGGAGGUUGUGGCCUUGAGCCGUGGCUUUCGGAGCUAACGCGUUAAGUAGACCGCCUGGGGAGUACGGUCGCAAGAUUAAAACUCAAAUGAAUUGACGGGGGCCCGCACAAGCGGUGGAGCAUGUGGUUUAAUUCGAUGCAACGCGAAGAACCUUACCUACUCUUGACAUCUACAGAAGCUUGCGGAGACGCGAGUGUGCCUUCGGGAACUGUAAGACAGGUGCUGCAUGGCUGUCGUCAGCUCGUGUUGUGAAAUGUUGGGUUAAGUCCCGCAACGAGCGCAACCCUUAUCCUUGUUUGCCAGCACAUAAUGGUGGGAACUCCAGGGAGACUGCCGGUGAUAAACCGGAGGAAGGUGGGGACGACGUCAAGUCAUCAUGGCCCUUACGAGUAGGGCUACACACGUGCUACAAUGGCACAUACAGAGGGCAGCCAACUUGCAAAAGUGAGCGAAUCCCAAAAAGUGUGUCGUAGUCCGGAUCGGAGUCUGCAACUCGACUCCGUGAAGUCGGAAUCGCUAGUAAUCGUGGAUCAGAAUGCCACGGUGAAUACGUUCCCGGGCCUUGUACACACCGCCCGUCACACCAUGGGAGUGGGCUGCAAAAGAAGUAGGUAGUUUAACCUUCGGGGGGACGCUUACCACUUUGUGGUUCAUGACUGGGGUGAAGUCGUAACAAGGUA
rnacentral:rRNA from 1 species